rnacentral:rRNA from 1 species
GGGUUGUGAGGUUAAGUGACUAAGCGUACACGGUGGAUGCCCUGGCAGUCAGAGGCGAUGAAGGGCGUGCUAAUCUGCGAUAAGCGUCGGUAAGGUGAUAUGAACCGUUAUACCCGACGAUACCCGAAUGGGGAAACCCGGUGCACUUGUGCAUCAUUGCAGCAUGAAUACAUAGUGCUGCAAGGCGAACCGGGGGAACUGAAACAUCUAAGUACCCCGAGGAAAAGAAAUCAACCGAGAUUCCCCCAGUAGCGGCGAGCGAACGGGGAACAGCCCAGAACCUGAAUCAGUUUGUGCAUCAGUGGAAGCGUCUGGAAAGUCGCAGGGUACAGGGUGAUACUCCCGUACACAAAGGUGCACUUGCUGUGAGUUCGACGAGUAGGGCGGGACACGUGAUAUCCUGUCUGAAGAUGGGGGGACCAUCCUCCAAGGCUAAAUACUCCUGACUGACCGAUAGUGAACCAGUACCGUGAGGGAAAGGCGAAAAGAACCCCGGCGAGGGGAGUGAAACAGAACCUGAAACCGUGUACGUACAAGCAGUGGGAGCAUCCUUUUGGGUGUGACUGCGUACCUUUUGUAUAAUGGGUCAGCGACUUAUAUUCUGUAGCAAGGUUAACCGUAUAGGGGAGCCGCAGGGAAACCGAGUCUUAACUGGGCGUUAAGUUGCAGGGUAUAGACCCGAAACCCGGUGAUCUAGCCAUGGGCAGGUUGAAGGUUGGGUAACACUAACUGGAGGACCGAACCGACUAAUGUUGAAAAAUUAGCGGAUGACCUGUGGCUGGGGGUGAAAGGCCAAUCAAACCGGGAGAUAGCUGGUUCUCCCCGAAAGCUAUUUAGGUAGCGCCUCGUGAAUUCAUCUCCGGGGGUAGAGCACUGUUUCGGCUAGGGGGCCAUCCCGGCUUACCAACCCGAUGCAAACUGCGAAUACCGGAGAAUGUUAUCACGGGAGACACACGGCGGGUGCUAACGUCCGUCGUGAAGAGGGAAACAACCCAGACCGCCAGCUAAGGUCCCAAAGUCAUGGUUAAGUGGGAAACGAUGUGGGAAGGCACAGACAGCCAGGAUGUUGGCUUAGAAGCAGCCAUCAUUUAAAGAAAGCGUAAUAGCUCACUGGUCGAGUCGGCCUGCGCGGAAGAUGUAACGGGGCUAAACCAUGCACCGAAGCUGCGGCAGCGA